CAACAGGGAUUGCCUCAGUAACGGCGAGUGAAGCGGCAACAGCUCAAAUUUGAAAUCUGGCCCUAGGCCCGAGUUGUAAUUUGCAGAGGAUGCUUUUGGUGCGGUGCCUUCCAAGUUCCCUAGAACGGGACGCCAGAGAGGGUGAGAGCCCCGUACAGUUGGACACCAAGCCUUUGUAAAGCUCCUUCGACGAGUCGAGUAGUUUGGGAAUGCUGCUCAAAAUGGGAGGUAUAUUUCUUCUAAAGCUAAAUACCGGCCAGAGACCGAUAGCGCACAAGUAGAGUGAUCGAAAGAUGAAAAGCACUUUGAAAAGAGGGUUAAACAGCACGUGAAAUUGUUAAAAGGGAAGCGCUUGUGACCAGACUUGCGUCCGGUGAAUCACCCAGCUCUCGCGGCUGGGGCACUUCGCCGGCUCAGGCCAGCAUCAGCUCGCUGUCGGGGACAAAAGCUUCAGGAACGUAGCUCUCUUCGGGGAGUGUUAUAGCCUGUUGCACAAUACCCUUCGGCGGGCUGAGGUACGCGCUCCGCAAGGAUGCUGGCAUAAUGGUCAUCAGCGACCCGUCUUGAAACACGGACCAAGGAGUCAACCUUAUGUGCGAGUGUUCGGGUGUCAAACCCCUACGCGUAAUGAAAGUGAACGCAGGUGAGAGCUUCGGCGCAUCAUCGACCGAUCCUGAUGUUCUCGGAUGGAUUUGAGUAAGAGCAUAUAGGGUUGGACCCGAAAGAAGGUGAACUAUGCGUGUAUAGGGUGAAGCCAGAGGAAACUCUGGUGGAGGCUCGCAGCGGUUCUGACGUGCAAAUCGAUCGUCAAAUAUGCGCAUGGGGGCGAAAGACUAAUCGA
rnacentral:rRNA from 1 species